CCUACGGGGGGCAGCAGUGGGGAAUAUUGCACAAUGGGGGAAACCCUGAUGCAGCGACGCCGCGUGAGUGAAGAAGUAAUUCGUUAUGUAAAGCUCUAUCAGCAGGGAAGAAAAUGACGGUACCUGAGUAAGAAGCCCCGGCUAACUACGUGCCAGCAGCCGCGGUAAUACGUAGGGGGCAAGCGUUAUCCGGAUUUACUGGGUGUAAAGGGAGCGUAGACGGCAGUGCAAGUCUGGAGUGAAAGGCGGGGGCUCAACCCCCGGACUGCUCUGGAAACUGUACGGCUGGAGUGCAGGAGAGGUAAGUGGAAUUCCUAGUGUAGCGGUGAAAUGCGUAGAUAUUAGGAGGAACACCAGUGGCGAAGGCGGCUUACUGGACUGUAACUGACGUUGAGGCUCGAAAGCGUGGGGAGCAAACAGGAUUAGAUACCCCAGUAGUC
rnacentral:rRNA from 1 species